rnacentral:rRNA from 1 species
CGUGACCUGCGGAAGGAUCAUUACCUGGCCUUGGGCCACUCCCGCAUGGCGCUCGCGCCUUCGGGGGUGCUUAGCCCUCGACUAUCACCUUGACUAUGCGUACCUUUGUUGUUUCCUCGGCAGGUCUCCUGCCGCCAGGAACCCUCUAUAACCCUUUUGGAAUGGCAUCAAACUGAAACAAACCACAAUUAUUUACAACUUUCAACAAUGGAUCUCUUGGUUCUGGCAUCGAUGAAGAACGCAGCGAAAUGCGAUAAGUAGUGUGAAUUGCAGAAUUCAGUGAAUCAUCGAAUCUUUGAACGCACAUUGCGCCCCUCGGUAUUCCGUGGGGCAUGCCUGUUCGAGCGUCAUUUACCCCCUCAAGCUCUGCUUGGUGUUGGGCGCCUGUCCCGCCUCGUGCGCGGACUCGCCUAGAAGACAUUGGCGGCGGUCGUGCCAGCUUCUCGCGCAGCACAUUGCGCUUCUCGAGGCUUCGGCGGACCAGCGUCCAGCAAGUCCACCUCCAGUUUGACCUCGGAUCAGGUAGGGAUACCCGCUGAACUUAAGCAUAUCAAUAAGCGGAGGAAAAGAAACCAACAGGGAUUGCCCUAGUAACGGCGAGUGAAGCGGCAACAGCUCAAAUUUGAAAUCUGGCCUCCUCCGGUGGUCCGAGUUGUAAUUUGCAGAGGGUGCUUUGGCGUCGGCAGCGGUCUAAGUUCCUUGGAACAGGACAUCACAGAGGGUGAGAAUCCCGUACGUGGUCGCCUGCCUUCGCCGUGUAAAGCCCCUUCGACGAGUCGAGUUGUUUGGGAAUGCAGCUCUAAAUGGGAGGUAAAUUUCUUCUAAAGCUAAAUACUGGCCAGAGACCGAUAGCGCACAAGUAGAGUGAUCGAAAGAUGAAAAGCACUUUGGAAAGAGAGUCAAACAGCACGUGAAAUUGUUGAAAGGGAAGCGCUUGCAGCCAGACUUGCCCGUAGUUGCUCAUCGGAACUUUUGCUCCGAGCACUCUUCUGCGGGCAGGCCAGCAUCAGUUUGGGCGACCGGAUAAUGGCCUCUGUCAUGUAUCUUCCUUCGGGAUGACCUUAUAGGGGAGGCGUAAUGCGGCCAGCCCGGACUGAGGUCCGCGCAUC